rnacentral:misc_RNA from 1 species
UUAAGUUCAGCGGGUAUCCCUACCUGAUCCGAGGUCAACCAUAGAAAGUUGGGGGUUAUGGCGAGCAACCACUAGACCCUAUAGCGAGAAAGUUACUACGCUUAGAGCCAGAGGGCACUGCCACUGAUUUUAAGGGCUGCCUAGAAGCAUGCCCCAACACCAAGCUAGGCUUGAGGGUUAUAAUGACGCUCGGACAGGCA